CCGCCACCGCUGCUGCCGCCCUCGGCCACGGGUCCCGACGCGACAGUGGGCGGGCCAGCGCCGACCCCGCUGCUGCCCCCCUCGGCCACAGCCUCGGUCAAGAUGGAGCCAGAGAACAAGUACCUGCCCGAACUCAUGGCCGAGAAGGACUCGCUCGACCCGUCCUUCACUCACGCCAUGCAGCUGCUGACGGCAGAAAUUGAGAAGAUUCAGAAAGGAGACUCAAAAAAGGAUGAUGAGGAGAAUUAUUUGGAUUUAUUUUCUCAUAAGAACAUGAAACUGAAAGAGCGAGUGCUGAUACCUGUCAAGCAGUAUCCCAAGUUCAAUUUUGUGGGGAAGAUUCUUGGACCACAAGGGAAUACAAUCAAAAGACUGCAGGAAGAGACUGGUGCAAAGAUCUCUGUAUUGGGAAAGGGCUCAAUGAGAGACAAAGCCAAGGAGGAAGAGCUGCGCAAAGGUGGAGACCCCAAAUAUGCCCACUUGAAUAUGGAUCUGCAUGUCUUCAUUGAAGUCUUUGGACCCCCAUGUGAGGCUUAUGCUCUUAUGGCCCAUGCCAUGGAGGAAGUCAAGAAAUUUCUAGUACCGGAUAUGAUGGAUGAUAUCUGUCAGGAGCAAUUUCUAGAGCUGUCCUACUUGAAUGGAGUACCUGAACCCUCUCGUGGACGUGGGGUGCCAGUGAGAGGCCGGGGAGCUGCACCUCCUCCACCACCUGUUCCCAGGGGCCGUGGUGUUGGACCACCUCGGGGGGCUUUGGUACGUGGUACACCAGUAAGGGGAGCCAUCACCAGAGGUGCCACUGUGACUCGAGGCGUGCCACCCCCACCUACUGUGAGGGGUGCUCCAGCACCAAGAGCACGGACAGCGGGCAUCCAGAGGAUACCUUUGCCUCCACCUCCUGCACCAGAAACAUAUGAAGAAUAUGGAUAUGAUGAUACAUACGCAGAACAAAGUUACGAAGGCUACGAAGGCUAUUACAGCCAGAGUCAAGGGGACUCAGAAUAUUAUGACUAUGGACAUGGGGAGGUUCAAGAUUCUUAUGAAGCUUAUGGCCAGGACGACUGGAAUGGGACCAGGCCGUCGCUGAAGGCCCCUCCUGCUAGGCCAGUGAAGGGAGCAUACAGAGAGCACCCAUAUGGACGUUAUUAAAAACAAACAUGAGGGGAAAAUAUCAGUUAUGAGCAAAGUUGUUACUGAUUUCUUGUAUCUCCCAGGAUUCCUGUUGCUUUACCCACAACAGACAAGUGACUGAAAACUCCUGAGGCAUUUCCUGGACUAGAAUGGGUAGUGAAGACCCAUGUCAGCUAUCAGAGGACUCCUGAAACCUGGAGAGCUACCUGCUGUAUAAAGGCUGGCCUGAGGGCAUUUGCUGAACACAGAGAAACCCAGGAGAGGAGAUCAGCAGUUUUCUUUCACUCUACUUGAUCUGUCAAAUUUACCCACAGAAAGCCAGUCAGGAUCCCUUAAGAGUCUUUAGGCCCAGAAUGGAGUCCUCAGGGCUGCAGGGGACUGUGGUGCUAACAAUUAAACUGUUCAAGACUUUAAAGAGUUGAAGGGGACUAAUGGGUAUCCCUAGCAUGGCCUCCUAGAUGGGAAUUAACUGGCAACUCCUACUGUGCCAUUCCCAGUAUGUGUGCUUCCCUUUAGCCUCCCAUAGAAUUGACUGAAACACCCUACCACCGUUUUCUGUUUCCCCACUACCACACCUGUGUUAUGGGUGUCAGCCUGUGAGUCCUUGAACCCUUCCAGAGGGCUCCCAAGGGAGGGUGAUCACUGCCCUUCCAUAAAAGGCUGAGGAAAGCCAAGUGAGAAGAUUCAAUUAAUUUGGGCAAGUUAUUUAACAUCUGAACCUGUUUUUCUCUUCAUUGUUUAUUACUUACCUUGUCCAAAAAGGUCAUAAAGGGUAGGGGUUUUUCUGUUCCACCUCUGUACUAUAUUUCUCCCCAACAAAUAUCUGACCCUGAGGACCUCAAUAAAGGUUUGGUCAAGUGA
rnacentral:sRNA from 1 species